UGAAAACAAUAGUGUGGUUAUUCAUGUUGUCAGCAUUAAAAAAGUCAGAAGAUAUUGCAAAUCUUCAAUUGCACUAAAUUUUGUGUAUAAAGAAAUAUUAUUUUUAAUGAAAAAUAAUGCUAAGGGAAUGAUCAUUUAACUUCAAGGGGGAGGGGAAGGGGAUACGGUUUUUAACCAAAAAAAAAAAUCAUAAAAAAUAUUCUGGUCAAGCAGAUGACUAAAAAAGUCUGAUUCCAGUUUCCCCCCAUACUUUAUAGUAUUAAGCAACAAUUUUUUUUAUCAUUAAAUGUGUUAAAAAAAACUUAAUAUAUAUAUUUGCAUUCUGCACGAACAAAACUCAAAAAAAAAUACACCCCCCUUUUUGGAUUUAAACAGUUGCUCCC
rnacentral:lncRNA from 1 species